rnacentral:rRNA from 1 species
AACGGUAACAGGANGUGCUUGCACNUCGCUGACGAGUGGCGGACGGGUGAGUAAUGCUUGGGAACUUGCCUUUGCGAGGGGGAUAACAGUUGGAAACGACUGCUAAUACCGCAUAAUGUCUUCGGACCAAACGGGGCUUAGGCUCCGGCGCAAAGAGAGGCCCAAGUGAAAAUUANCUAGUUGGUAAGGUAAAGGCUUACCAAGGCAACGAUCUCUAGCUGUUCUGAGAGGAAGAUCAGCCACACUGGAACUGAGACACGGUCCAGACUCCUACGGGAGGCAGCAGUGGGGAAUAUUGCACAAUGGGGGAAACCCUGAUGCAGCCAUGCCGCGUGUGUGAAGAAGGCCUUCGGGUUGUAAAGCACUUUCAGUUGUGAGGAAAAGUUAGUAGUUAAUACCUGCUAGCCGUGACGUUAACAACAGAAGAAGCACCGGCUAACUCCGUGCCAGCAGCCGCGGUAAUACGGAGGGUGCGAGCGUUAAUCGGAAUUACUGGGCGUAAAGCGCACGCAGGCGGUUUGUUAAGCUAGAUGUGAAAGCCCCGGGCUCAACCUGGGANGGUCAUUUAGAACUGGCAGACUAGAGUCUUGNNNAGGGGGAAGUGGAAUUCCAGGUGUAGCGGUGAAAUGCGUAGAUAUCUGGAGGAACAUCNNUGGCGAANGCNACUCCCUGGCCAAAGACUGACGCUCAUGUGCGAAAGUGUGGGUAGCGAACAGGAUUAGAUACCCUGGNAGUCCACACCGUNNCGCUGUCUAC